rnacentral:rRNA from 1 species
GACGAACGCUGGCGGCGUGCUUAACACAUGCAAGUCGAACGGAAAGGCCUGCUUUCCCUUGUGGAUUGCGGGUACUCGAGUGGCGAACGGGUGAGUAACACGUGAGUGAUCUGCCCCCAACUUGGGUAUAAGCCUGGGAAACUGGGUCUAAUUCCCGAUAGGACUGCAGGGUGGUGCCUGUGGUGGAAAACGAUUUUCUAGUGGUUGGGGAUGAGCUCGCGGCCUAUCAGCUUGUUGGUGGGGUAAUGGCCUACCAAGGCGGCGACGGGUAGCCGGCCUGGGAGGGUGGACGGCCACAUUGGGACUGAGAUCCGGCCCAGACUCCUACGGGCGGCAGCAGUGGGGCAUAUUGCACAAUGGGCGGAAGCCUGAUGCAGCGACGCCGCGUGGGGGAUGACGGCCUUCGGGUUGUAAGCUCCUUUCGACCGCGAGGAAGCCACCUGGUUGGAAGGGUGGUGACGGUAGUGGUAGAAGAAGCACCGGCUAACUACGUG